UUACGUACGGUAAAGUGCAUAAAUCUUAAGUGUUUUGCUUGAAGAAUUUUUACUUACAUGUAUACUCAUCACCACCUACCAGACGAAGAUACAGAACAUUUCCAACACUUCAGAAGCUUCUCUUAUGCCCAUUUCCAGUCUACACUGCUCCAAAGGUGAGAAAACUAAAGUUCAAAAAAGCUCAAACAACCUGCCCAUUGUCACACUGCUAGAGGGAGAGCCGGGACAGGUACGUAAGGCUGCAACUUCUGUGCACACAGAAAUAGGAAGCUACCUUCACCCUCUGGAGUCCCCAGGCGGGAAAACAAGACUCGGGAGCAUGGUGGGUAAAUUACGUAUUAAGCAUUGAGAAAUAAUAGAGUGACGAAACGUUCACAGCCAGCAGGGAAAGGGCCCCGUGUGUGCUCCCGACAUCUGUGGUGUCUGCAGCGUGGACUCCACAGGGCCAGCGCGGCUCAGUGUGCCAGCCAGUCCCUGAGUCUCAUCUUUUUGUCUUCCGUCCAGGCCAGCUACACAAGGUGGGACAGGGUGAUGAGUCCACGGAGAAGCACAUGACUCCCUGAACUCUUUCAGACUCGUUCAACUUCCAGCCAGUGGGGAAGGGAGAUCCCAGCCUUCACUGGAUACAGAGUCCAAAGCCCUACGCAGUUCCAGUUGGAAAACAGAGUUGUAGACAUUUACUGGUGUGGUAAAUGGGAACUUUUCAGGGAGUACAGUGUACACUGAAUAAGAAAAAAGUGACAUAACAGUAGGGGAGGUGAUUUCCACCUCGACUGUGAGAUUUAAGAAACUGGUAGGAAAUUGAUAGGCAAUAUGGAAUAGUGUGUGAGAGUACUUCUCAGGAGCCAGACUGCCUGGAUUGCAAUCCCAGCUCCAUCACUUAUUAGCUGUGUGACUUUGAGCCAGUAAUUUGGCCGUUCUCACCUCAGUUUAUUCAUCUGUAAAAUGAGGGUGACGACAGUACCUACCUCAUAAGGUUGAUGUGAAGAUUAUAUGAAUUAAUGGACAUGAAAUAAUGUACAUUUUACGAAUUAAUGUAAUGUCUUGGGGGGCCAGCUGCAUAUGGGGGGCAUAGUGGUUAAGUUUGUGUGCUCCCCUUCAGAGGCCCAGCGGGGUUCACAGGUUAGGAUUCCGGGCGCAGACCUAGUACCACUUGCCAGGCCAUGAUGUGGCGGCAUCCCAGAAAAAGUAGAGGAAGAUUGGCA
rnacentral:lncRNA from 1 species